AAGUAAAAAGAACAAACUAAAAAAUAAAAAACAAAAUGGAUAUCUCUAGAAGGAGACCAAAACAUGAACUGAUAGAAGAUAAUUUUCCAAAUUUGGAAGGUGAGUUCCAUAUUCCGAGUGUGGAUGGACAAAGUUAUUAUAGGGCUUCUAUAGGCUUCUAUGUGGAUUUUAACAAGUGUGAUGUCUGUACUUUUCUCAUCUUUGUAUGUUUGAGCAUUAAAGUGAGAGUUGAUGAUGAUAAAUUUGAGUAUGUUACAUAAAAAGUUUUGUAGAUGGGUGUAGAAGGUGUUUAUGGGAAGAAAUUGUAUCUGCAAGUUUAUUGAUAGCAAAGUUCAGUUAUUAUAGUGAGCUA